rnacentral:rRNA from 1 species
UAACGCGUAGGUAACCUGCCUUGUAGCGGGGGAUAACUAUUGGAAACGAUAGCUAAUACCGCAUAACAAUGGGUGACUCAUGUCAUUUAUUUGAAAGGGGCAAAUGCUCCACUACAAGAUGGACCUGCGUUGUAUUAGCUAGUAGGUGAGGUAACGGCUCACCUAGGCGACGAUACAUAGCCGACCUGAGAGGGUGAUCGGCCAUACUGGGACUGAGACACGGCCCAG